GGGGGUAUAGCUCAACUUGGUAGAGUAAUCGGCUCCAGACCGGUUGAUCUGGGUUCAAAUCCUAGUGCCCCCA
rnacentral:tRNA from 1 species